GUGACCACUGUUGCACUUAUUUGGAGAAACAGGAACUAUAUUAGAUUUGAAGGGAAAGCAUUAGAGGAGAACCAGUUCUGCCGCGAGGUUGCGUUGCUUAUUCAUAUUUGCGGCAGAAACUGUAAGCGUUGGCAAGCUAGACUGCGACAACUUAACCAUUACCCUUAGCUUUAGGUUUGCAAAUUCAUGUAUUUGUAUAGUGUUUGAACUGGAAAGUAGUGG
rnacentral:lncRNA from 1 species